AAUCAAACAACUAAUAUUCCCAUCGAAAUGCAGAGGAGCAAUUAUAUAUCGGUCAUUGUAUUCACAGCAGAUGAAAACAUCGAGUGAUUUUACAGUAAUGCAAUGAAAUCUGCCGAGACAGUUUAACCUAUAACCAAAACGCAGGUAAUUAUAAAUCUCACACAUAUACAAGUAGAAUUAGUAGGCACAUGUACAGUCUCACAGCAUAUUCUUCCUAUCACGCUUUGUUGUUCAGACAUUAAUUUCUUUUCCCAUGUUUCCCAAAGAAAGGCAAAGCACGACCUAAUUAACAU